GGGACCAAGGUGUUAGUGGCAGCAUACUCGGCUCUUAACCGAGCUUGGUGAGGGUUCGAGCCCCUCUGGUCCCAC
rnacentral:tRNA from 1 species